rnacentral:rRNA from 1 species
AUUGAACGCUGGCGGCAGGCCUAACACAUGCAAGUCGAGCGGAUGAAGGGAGCUUGCUCCUGGAUUCAGCGGCGGACGGGUGAGUAAUGCCUAGGAAUCUGUCUGGUAGUGGGGGAUAACGUCCGGAAACGGGCGCUAAUACCGCAUACGUCCUGAGGGAGAAAGUGGGGGAUCUUCGGACCUCACGCUAUCAGAUGAGCCUAGGUCGGAUUAGCUAGUUGGUGGGGUAAAGGCCUACCAAGGCGACGAUCCGUAACUGGUCUGAGAGGAUGAUCAGUCACACUGGAACUGAGACACGGUCCAGACUCCUACGGGAGGCAGCAGUGGGGAAUAUUGGACAAUGGGCGAAAGCCUGAUCCAGCCAUGCCGCGUGUGUGAAGAAGGUCUUCGGAUUGUAAAGCACUUUAAGUUGGGAGGAAGGGCAGUAAGUUAAUACCUUGCCGUUUUGACGUUACCAACAGAAUAAGCACCGGCUAACUUCGUG